UACGAAGGGGGCUAGCGUUGCUCGGAAUCACUGGGCGUAAAGGGUGCGUAGGCGGGUCUUUAAGUCAGGGGUGAAAUCCUGGAGCUCAACUCCAGAACUGCCUUUGAUACUGAAGAUCUUGAGUUCGGGAGAGGUGAGUGGAACUGCGAGUGUAGAGGUGAAAUUCGUAGAUAUUCGCAAGAACACCAGUGGCGAAGGCGGCUCACUGGCCCGAUACUGACGGCUGAGGCACGAAAGCGUGGGGAGCAAACAGG
rnacentral:rRNA from 1 species